AUUGAACGCUGGCGGAAUGCUUUACACAUGCAAGUCGAGCGGCAGCGCGGCCUUCGGGCUGGCGGCGAGCGGCGAACGGGUGAGUAAUGCAUCGGAACAUGCCCAGUCGUGGGGGAUAACACUUCGAAAGAAGAGCUAAUACCGCAUACGUCCUGAGGGGGAAAGCGGGGGAUCGCAAGACCUCGCGCGAUUGGAGUGGCCGAUGUCAGAUUAGCUAGUUGGUGGGGUAAAGGCCUACCAAGGCGACGAUCUGUAGCUGGUCUGAGAGGAUGAUCAGCCACACUGGGACUGAGACACGGCCCAGACUCCUACGGGAGGCAGCAGUGGGGAAUUUUGGACAAUGGGGGCAACCCUGAUCCAGCCAUUCCGCGUGAGUGAAGAAGGCCUUCGGGUUGUAAAGCUCUUUCGGCAGGAACGAAACGGUGGGCUCUAACAUAGUCCGCUAAUGACGGUACCUGAAGAAGAAGCACCGGCUAACUACGUG
rnacentral:rRNA from 1 species